UUCGCAACGCACAACACCACAUAGUAUACUGCGCACAUACUAUGUCGAUUUCAAAUUCACGCUACAUUUAUCCCAAAAAGUACACCAACUGUGCACCAUCAUGGUUUUCAUAUGUGUCCUCAAGUUAUCGGCCUGUACAAAGGACUUGGAGCAGAUGGUGCAGUGAUAUGGUCGCUCGCCUUUGUGGACGCGCAAGUGAUCGUUCGGGUUGCAUCUAUGCGAGAAGCUUCGAGUGCACAAAUGGCAUUGAAAUGAACGCUCGCCUGUGUGGACCAUGGUGUGUGUUUUCAGACAGAAUAGUUUUCCAGUUUCACAGUCACAGAAAUCACAGCGGUAGAGGCGUCCUUGGUGCAACUUCUCAUCCUCGGCAGUUGUAGGAGAGUACGAAUAAAUUGACCCUGCACAAUGAAAACAAAUAUGCACUUAAAAAUGUUUGUUCAUCCAAUACUUCACGAGGCUGAUCUCAGAAAAGACAAAACAAAGCACAGCUGGUCGACCUUUGUUAAUUGCUCAUUACGUAUUAUUAAAUCAUUAUAUACAAGAUUGCUUAGUGAACAGGUUUAUAAAAUGCAAACAUAACUUCUUAAAAAAUUUAGU
rnacentral:lncRNA from 1 species